AUAUGCUCAACACUGGACCGA
rnacentral:snRNA from 1 species